rnacentral:lncRNA from 1 species
GUCAGUGCGGCUUCCCACUAGGCGCGUGGUACCCGAGGCCGGGCCGGAGCCGCAGGCCAGCCGCGAUUCCUUCGGGCGAUGCUGGGGGCUUUCCGGUCGGGGCCGCAGCCGCUUCCGGAGCCGCGGGCGAGGUGCGUUCCCCAGCCUGGUUUGCUCUGGGCUCUGACCCGCCGCCGCGAAUCUCCGCUCGUAACUCCGGGCCUGAACCUGGAGGAGGGAGGAUUUCCUCUGUGCAGCUUUCGAGCGGUAGACUCACCCUGCCAGGCAGACCUAGAUUGGCAUAACCAGAGAUCAGUUCCAGUUGUGAUGCAGUGGGUGUCUACACACUUCUGAUGACACCUUUAUUUUAAAAGCUGAUGUUCCAAGGUGCAAGCGGUCUUCUCUGUCUUCUUUAUGGCCAGUAAAAUUCUCCAGAAGAGAUUUAUGGCAGCCUCACUCCCAGUAGUUUCUGCAUUUAGUGAGAUAAGAUGGAAUCUUGCUCUCUUGCUCAGACUGGAGUACAGUGGCGUGACCUUGGCUCACUGCAACCUCACCUCUCGGGUUCAAGCGAUUCUGCCCCAGCCUCUCGAGUAGCUGGGACUACAGGUGGGAGACCUCCACAGAACCCUUCCAGCAAGCUGUCUUCUAAAGCAAACAAGAAAAGGAAAGUCUGAGCAGUUUUGAUUAGAUUUCCCAGAAGUCAAAGCAAGGAAAAAUGAAAAAGCUUCAUUUCUCACGUUCUUAAAAGAGAGCACAGAUGUUGCAUCAUCUGGUUAGAUACCCUGAGAAUAAAAUCUGGAUCCAGUGAGAGGAAAGAUUCUGGGUGCUCAUGAAAAAAGAAACAAAACAAAACUUGGGAGCCUCUUGAGAGUGUACAGCAUCAGCCCUUGCCAACUCUUGUUUAUAUGCAUUUAACUUUCAGUUAACCAUGGGAAUAAUUCAUGAAAAUCCAAUCUACAAACAAAGGCCAUCCCAACGUUCAUGUUAUUAUUUUCCCUAAGAAUCUUUCACAAGAGCUAUAAUCAAGUAGAAUUAUGCUUUGAUUUGAAUUCUAAUUCAAUUGAAAAUAAAAAAUGAGGGCCGGACGCGGUGGCUCAUGCCUGUAAUCCCAGCGCUUUGGGAGGCCGAGGUGGACGGAUCACGAGGUCAGGAGAUCGAGACCAUCCCGGCUAACACGGUGAAACCCGAUCCCUACUAAAAAUACAAAAAAUUAGCCGGGCGUGGUGGCAGGCGCCUGUAGUCCCAGCUACUCGGGAGGCUGAGGCAGGAGAAUGGCGUGAACCCAGGAGGCAGAGGUUGCAGUGAGCCGAGAUCAUGCUACUGCACUCCAGCCUGGGCGACAGAGCGAGACUCUGUCUAUAAAUAAAUAAAUAAAUAAAUAACGAAAAGGUUGCCAU